AGACGUCGGUGCAAGAUGUAUCACCUCGUCGGCCGUCCACCCAAUUCAGUGCCCUGCUCCGCCCUGCCCUGCACCCGCCCCAACGGGCUAGCAGCCGCGGCGUCAGGACAGUCACAGGGCGCCUGCCGCCAGGUGCGGCCUGGACAUGCGCGCUCUGGACAUGCGAAACAGGGGUGGCGACAUACACACUAACACAAUCUGUUGUUAACCCGGAGUAACACACAUGGUAUGUGUGAUGGGAAAGUGUUAAGGCAGUUUUGUGAAGUCCCGCGGGGUGCAGCUGAUUCAUUCCCAGACUCCAGCAGAUGGCAAACAAUGUGCGACGGCAGUGCAGGAGAGCGCGGCUGGUCGAAUGCCGGAGUUACGUACUGUACCGACAAGUUGCUGGCUGGCUGGGAGUUUGCUGACGCGCAUCCCUCACGCACCGGGCGUCCGGCCAGGCGAUAGCACCACACAGACACACCGCAACGCCACACUCGCGAUGCAGACCCGCAGCGCACCUGCAGGAAGGUGACCAGCGUCCACGGAUGAGCACCCGGAUUCACACUUUCUUGCUGCUUGCUAGCCUGGAGCACUCGAUGGCGUCUUGCAUUUGCAUUCACACUAGCUUUCAUUUCUCAUGUGUGUUUUGCUGUGUAG
rnacentral:lncRNA from 1 species